rnacentral:rRNA from 1 species
CAGCAUGUGUGCAACCAAGCUGCCUGUCAAGCAGGAGUCGGUUCGACGGUUUUAACGGUUUAGUAGUAGGGGUGGCAAAGGAAAGGGGGUGGAGGCGGCGAGGGCAGGGGAGGGGAGGCGCUGGCUUUGUUACCCGCAGGAGGGAAGGUAGACUGCGGGGUUAGGUUAGGUACUCUUGGGGGCGCGGUGUUAGGCUAGAACGGCGGGCUCCUACAGGGACGGGCUGCAGCACAUGUCGACACCUAGGACACCUAUACGAGAUUUAGAAAGUAGAAGAUUGUCUUCGUGUAGACUGCAUCCUAGGAGCAUGGUUUUUAGAGACUUCUUCCCAGACUAAAGUAAGUGAAGAUAACUAGAGUCGGCAAAAUGAGUCCAACUGCUCUAUAGAACAAAAGGAAAGGAAUGGACCGCAUCGAUGGCCGGCUUUUGAUUCGAAGACACGGCUUUUACACCUAGUAGAUAACCGAUACCUAUACCACUCGGUGGACAUAACACAUCGAAACUAGGUCGUUCAAGAAGGAGACCAUGUAGGGUUUUGAUAAAUUAUUUCUAGGUCCGAGAGGCUGAAAGUCUGCCAUGAGUUAUUAACCAAUUCACAUCAGUCUUAUACCUUUUUCUCUACUACCUAUUGUCGUAUCUUCCGACAUAGUCAACGGAAAGACUACUAACGAACGAAAGAUAUAAAUUGUUCGAACUUUCACUUAGCCUGUUCUUACGAAAACCCAAUUGCACAUUCUUAACCAAGUUCCAAGCUUUGUAACGAGCUUUUAGCGAUUAUAAAGUAAAGAGUAAAUUACGAUUUCUUAUAUUCCUCGUACGGGUCACGGAAGGUUUCUACAACCGGGCAAGAGGUAUAGAAUUCAACUAUAGGGAACGCCCCGAAUCACUCGAUAGACUAAGUCGAGAAAUACUUCACCCUCAAAGACCUUGUAGAAACGUCAGGAAGAGUAACAUGAGGACAAGACCAUAUUGUCUACUACCAGAUCGUGUUCACAGUUAGCCUACAGGAUUAAACCAAUAUCAACUUGAAAUGGCGACGAAUUUAUAGUGGCUAGAACCAAACCUUUCAGAAAGGUUCCCGACAGUAAGAAACUUCUCAGAAUUGGAACCAAUGACGUGUCAAUAAAGUCUAGCUCCCUAAUCAAGUUAGAAAUCCUUAACGGCUUUGUAAACACGUGAAUAGUAUAGUAUAACGUCUCCACAUAGACCACAACCUAAAUCUCCAACGGGUUCAUGUGAAAGAAUGGAUCUUCGGCUCAGGACGUACGAAAGAGGUCUCCCUUACGAUCUGUAUAGCUCACCACCACCUGAGGUCAUGUAUUUAAACAUAUUAGAUUCCUCAAGUCAACCCGACCUAACGGAUCCACCUCAACCGUCAUACUUCUUUGAGGCUCAAGACUUAGACUCCUACACGGCGAUAGAAUGACUACUAAGACACCACCGUUAUCGAUCGCCCACAGGCAACUAACUCCUCACCUCGGAACGACAGACAGUACCGCAGGCGAAUGGACCAACCAGCCGCUAACCUAACUUGACGUUGUUCGAUUCUUAAGAAGUACACUUGGCAACAGCUUUGUAUACGCUGGUUCCUGACGUCCGAGAGUUCCUGCCUACACACGCGGAACUCCAGGACGUAUAUGUACCGACAUCGUUCUAAUGUUUAUUACCGGACCGUGACAAGUCGUAACGAUCCGGAUCACACUUCGUUUACCACCUGCUUCGGUACAGGUAACCAGGCAGGUAGCUCCUAAAUAAGGCCAACGUCACUAGCCCUUGAGACUUUCAAAUCAAUGUUGAAACUUCAAAACUGAACUUGUUCCACGGUAGGGAACAACAGUGGUCACACAAACAGUAAUGUCGUUUCAUAACCAAGAAACUGGUAGUGGUACACACGUAAGAUAAACAAGGCCAAGUAUGAAUAAACCAACAACCACAUUUCCUACAACGUCUGUAUUGGUAUUGAUAUGUUUACUUGACAUUCUUCAGUCAAACCACGAUGGCAAUAAACGUACAAGGGCGAGACCCAAAAACCGACAUUUCACGACAGUACUUUAAACUAUAACCAAUUUAGGUAACAGAAUAAAUCAGUAAAGCUUUCGUGAAAUUCAAAUUACACUAAGUAUUGGUAAGGGG